GACGAACCGUGCGAACGUUGUUCGGAUUCACUGGGCUUAGAGGGCGCGUAGGCGGCUUGCCAAGUCAGGGGUGAAAUCUUUCGGCUCAACCGGAAACGUGCCCCUGACUACUGGCGGGCGUGGAGGGAGGUAGGGGCAGACGGAACUUCCGGUGGAGCGGUGAAAUGCGUAGAUAUCGUUUGGAACGCCAAUGGUGAAACAGGUAACUGGGAGUGUGCCGACG
rnacentral:rRNA from 1 species